GAUCCAUUCCUAAAUCGACCAAAGAUCUCCUUGCACCAAUAGCUUUAGGCCUGCUAGACCUCAAUAUAUUCCUCUUCUUUUAAUUCCAAACCCUAAAUCGAGCAGUAAUCGUCUUAAGUACGUUAGCAGAAAUGAAUACCCGUUUUUACUUAGUUAACCUAAUAUCAGAAGAUGAUUGAGAUACAAAUACUUAAAAGGUUCAGAAUAUUGGUUACAUAGUAGAGCAUGUGGGGGGAAUGGGUUCAUUUGGAGUUGUCUUCCAGAGAAACUGGAGAAAUAGUUGCAAUCAAGAAGGUUCGUCAAGACAAGCGUUAUAAGAAUCGGGAGCUGCAAAUUAUGCAAAUGUUGGAUCACCCAAACAUCGUAGCUCUAAAGCAUAAUUUCUUUUCGAUCACAGGCAAGGAAGAGCCAUACCUAAAUAUAGUACUUGAGUUCGUACCAAACACUGUUUAUGGUGUUGCAAAGCACUACAGUCGGGUGAACCAGCGCAUGCCACUAAUAUACGUGAACCUCCAUACUUAUCAGAUCUGCAGAUCACUUUCUUACAUUCUUAACUGUUUUGGUAUAUGUCACCAUGUUAUUAAGUCGUAGAAUCUGUUGGUAACAGUCGCCUUGUUUACUCUAAUUAACAAGUCCUCGUUUACAUACUUCAUUUACAAGUUCUUCGUACACUUUAAUAAUCUUAUACCGUUACGAUCCUUUCUUAUUUGCCUUUGCAUCACAUCCCCAUGUAUAAAACCUCUAGAGAAUCAAAAUGUCAAAAGGAAGAAGUACCACGUAUUCAAGGUUGGGUGUUCAACAAAAAGUUGUUAAACUACUUACACCUUUCUCAGUAUCGUGGUGAAUAGACAACCCCAUCAGCUCCAUGGAUAUCUACCAUACCGCCACUCGAGAGCAGUCUUAUUCUGAAAGCUCUAACAUAGAAAGGGUAACAGUAACAUGUAUAUGGAGCGAGGGGUUUUUCUAUUGGAACAGUAAAAUGACACACCAAACCAACAAGCUGCAAUCUAAGAAAUUGGUAGAAGAGAAGGUUGACACAGUGGAUGAAGGACAACCGAAGACGGUUUCGUCUGAGGCGCCCGUUAUUUCUUUUCAGUUGAUUCUUGACAGUUGCCAUUUGGCCAUGAAUCAUAAUUGCCAAUGUUUCGUACAGAUUUCCAUUAUUUUUUUCAGGUAGUUUUGGCCAAUAAACAUCUUUUGGAAAAUCUGCUCAAAAAGUUGUUAAAGGCACCUGGAGAAAGUGAUUUUGGCACCCGCGUUUUGGACACAGGCUACCCCAGGGCACCCAAAGUCAGAUGCUAAAGGCACCCUACUCUGGAUAGGGGGCGCCCUCUCUCCUCUCAAAUUUCAAAUAAAGAAAAAAAAGGCGGGAAAACAUGAGCAUCCGUGAACAAAUUUUGGAUUUGAAUUUUUGAGUUGUUUUAAAGAGAUUCAAUCACGGAUAUCGGCUUGGUUUGGCCUGUUUGAGCAUAACAGGGCUGGUAUGGGUGUUGUAAUCAACCAGAAUUGGCUGCAUGAUCGUGUGGAGAAAAACAGAGAAGAAAAUAUCCCGGACAUGAUGAUUUGCUUCUGUGUGUACUCGUUCUGUGGAUUGAUAUAAUCCUGUUUCUGUUAAACAGGGAAGGUAUGAGCUGUAGAAUCGAGAAAACAGGGAUAGGAACCGAGUUUCUACAAAACAGGGAGAUGGUUACACUCGGGUUCUGUGGAUUGACUUGAGAUGAUUUGGGAGAAGAUAUGGUGUGAGAGAAGAUAUGGUGUUGUAUAUUGAGUGUAUCUGGUCCUGUUUCAGUAUCGAGAGGGUUUGGAAAGUUUUGAUAACUCAAAACCGCGUGGAGAAGAGUCAGGGAGAAGAAAUAGACCGAAACUUUUGGUAAAAGAAAACCAAGUUAUUCUCGGAUUUUUGGGAUAUCGGGAGUGAUUCUCGUGCUUGUGGUGUAUAAAUAGGCAUCUGGGAGGUCAAGAAAAGGAGCACGUACACUUGGAGGAGUUUAGUUGAGAGUUUGGAGAGAUUUGGGAAGCUGCAGAGCUGAGAGAAAGAAUCACGGAGAAGUUUCUUUGCCGGUGCAGGGAAGAAGAAGACGAAGAACAAAAUCAGUCGAAGAAAGUCGUUGGAAACUGCCGCAUAUACUAGAGUGUUCAACACCUUGCUAGCAACUGCCGAAUAGUGAUUCCUGUUUUAUAUCAUUUUCUUGUUUUUCUCUCCAUUAUAAACACCCUUUGAGCAUCAAUGAAUUAUUUUGAUCUCUAUUUUAUAAAUUUAUGUAAUAUUUUUAUAUGAUUAA